rnacentral:rRNA from 1 species
GAAUGAACGCUGGCGGCAUGCCUAACACAUGCAAGUCGAACGAAGGCUUCGGCCUUAGUGGCGCACGGGUGCGUAACGCGUGGGAAUCUGCCCCUUGGUUCGGAAUAACAGUUGGAAACGACUGCUAAUACCGGAUGANGACGUAAGUCCAAAGAUUUAUCGCCGAGGGAUGAGCCCGCGUAGGAUUAGGUAGUUGGUGUGGUAAAGGCGCACCAAGCCGACGAUCCUUAGCUGGUCUGAGAGGAUGAUCAGCCACACUGGGACUGAGACACGGCCCAGACUCCUACGGGAGGCAGCAGUGGGGAAUAUUGGACAAUGGGCGAAAGCCUGAUCCAGCAAUGCCGCGUGAGUGAUGAAGGCCUUAGGGUUGUAAAGCUCUUUUACCCGGGAUGAUA